CAAGAUCUCUGGGUUAAAAGACGGCUUAUAAUAUAAUGUAAACAGACUAACUCAAGGAGCGGUUGUUUUAGAGGCAACCUUGAUAAUCCAGAAUCACUGAGGCAGCCUUUGUAGUAAAAGUCAGGAGUUUUAAUAAAUGCUUGGAGCCAAGCAAAGACUUCUGAAAGUUGCUGUUUCACUACCAAGACUCAGAGGGCACGAGUUCAGCUGCAUACACAUGUGCCCUGCUAGAUGCAUGAUGUUUUUGAUCUGCUCUGUAUUAAUACACCAGGUGUUGACUGCUCACCUGUCCAGGCAGAAGCAAGGAGGUCAGCAAGACACCAGACACAGUCAUGGAGGACACCAGGCACAGUCGUGCUCUGGUGGGUGAGCUGAAGGCAGGAAGGCAGAUCUGCACCCAGAUCCGCUUGGCCCUCAUUCCCGUUUUCACUGCCAGGUGCCCGUCUGACAUCUCCUUGGGUGGACUCAGUUUCUUAAUACACUACAAAAUAAAUAUUAAAAUAAGUGAGAAAUACUCUGUGGCUUUAGGGAUUUGGAUUAAACAGCUGAUGGGUCAGGUGAGUGUUGGAACUGCAGCUAAGGAGCAGGCACAAGACUGAGGUGCAAGAAGACCUUUCAGAAACGGAAAGAUGUUAGCUCAGCUCAGCUGCAUCAAGGAACUUUUCCAUGGGACAGAGCUGCAGACACCUUCUUAAUACUGAAGGGAAAAAUAGCAUUCUUCAUAAAUAAGAUGGCAGAAUUUAACAUUACUGGCUUCUGUGUCUGUGGUGUGAUCCCACCACCCCUGACUGUAGCACACCUUAUGUUUUCCAGUCUAUUUCUAUCUUGCUGCAAAACAUUUCUGUCUAUUUCUAGUCUGCAUUAAAAAAAAAAAAAAAAAAAAGGUUAAGCGGUCCUUCCUUCUGGAACAAUAUUCUCCUAAGUGCCAUAUAUGCCCCACUGACACACAAUAUAUGCACACAUAAAACCCCAAGUACGUCUAAAAAAAAAAAAAAAAAAAAAAAAAAAAAAGGUUAAGCGGUCCUUCCUUCUGGAACAAUAUUCUCCUAAGUGCCAUAUAUGCCCCACUGACACACAAUAUAUGCACACAUAAAACCCCAAGUACGCAAUGUACUCUGAAGUGUUGUAAGACCCAGCCUAGAACAAGGCUGACAACAGUCCAAAAUCUAAUGUCUGUCUAAGCUCCAACACUGCUGGAGAUAACAAAAAAAAAAUCCCCCAAAAAAGUAAUAUUUUA
rnacentral:lncRNA from 12 species